AAAGAUGUCGUGUAUAUCUGUCCAUUUAUGGGAGCCAUCAGUGGGACGCUGACAGUGACAGACUUCAAAAUGUAUUUCAAGAACGUUGAAAGGGAUCCACAUUUUACUCUUGACGUUCCUCUUGGAGUGAUAAAUCGGAUUGAAAAGAUUGGAGUGCAGAGCCACGGAGACACCUCCUGCGGGAUUGAAAUUGUUUGCAAGGUAUUGGCUUAAAUAUGAAGGUGGUGAUUUGGAAUA